GGGCCCGCACAAGCGGAGGAGCAUGUGGUUUAAUUCGAUGAUACGCGAGGAACCUUACCCGGGCUUAAAUGACAGAUGACGUACUUUGAAAGGAGUAUUUCGUAAGACAUCUGUUAAGGUGCUGCAUGGUUGUCGUCAGCUCGUGCCGUGAGGUGUCGGGUUAAGUCCCAUAACGAGCGCAACCCUCAUAUUCAGUUACCAGCACGUAAAGGUGGGGACUCUGGAUAGACUGCCUACGCAAGUAGAGAGGAAGGUGGGGAUGACGUCAAAUCAGCACGGCCCUUACGUCCGGGGCUACACACGUGCUACAAUGGUCGAGACAGAGGGCAGCGAGCCGGUGACGGUAAGCGAAUCUCAGAAACUCGGUCACAGUCCGGAUCGGAGUCUGCAACCCGACUCCGUGAAGUUGGAUUCGCUAGUAAUCGCGCAUCAGCCAUGGCGCGGUGAAUACGUUCCCGGGCCUU
rnacentral:rRNA from 1 species